CAGGACUCGCAAGACUCCUUAAACCCCUGUGAACUUACUGUUUAUACGGUUGCUUCGGCGGGUGCUCCGGGGUCCGCCCCGGGGCGCUGCGCCCGCCGGCAGCCUACUUAAUUCCGUUUCUCUGCGUUGGCAUCUCGAGUAAGCAAAAUAAGUUA
rnacentral:misc_RNA from 1 species